ACCACCCAUUCAGUAUGGUGGUUAUCACUCUCGGCUUGUAAUCGAGUGGACUCGGGUUCGAAUCCCGAAUAUGGCA